AUUGAACGCUGGCGGCAGGCCUAACACAUGCAAGUCGAGCGGAUGAGAAGAGCUUGCUCUUCGAUUCAGCGGCGGACGGGUGAGUAAUGCCUAGGAAUCUGCCUGGUAGUGGGGGACAACGUUUCGAAAGGAACGCUAAUACCGCAUACGUCCUACGGGAGAAAGCAGGGGACCUUCGGGCCUUGCGCUAUCAGAUGAGCCUAGGUCGGAUUAGCUUGUUGGUGAGGUAAUGGCUCACCAAGGCGACGAUCCGUAACUGGUCUGAGAGGAUGGUCCGUCACACUGGAACUGAGACACGGUCCAGACUCCUACAGGAGGCAGCAGUGGGGAAUAUUGGACAAUGGGCGAAAGCCUGAUCCAGCCAGGCCGCGUGUGUGAAGAAGGUCUUCGGAUUGUAAAGCACUUUAGGUUGGGAGGAAGGGCAGCUAGCGAAUACCUGGUUGUUUUGACGUUACCGACAGAAUAAGCACCGGCUAACUCUGUGCCAGCCGCCGCCGUAA
rnacentral:rRNA from 1 species